CGCUGGCGGCGUGCUUAACACAUGCAAGUCGAACGGGAGGAAAAGAGAAGCUUGCUUCUUUUUGAAUCUAGUGGCAAACGGGUGAGUAACACGUAAACAACCUGCCUUCAGGAUGGGGACAACAGACGGAAACGACUGCUAAUACCGAAUGUGUUCCGGAGACCGCAUGAUUUCCGGAAGAAAGGAUGGCCUCUAUUUAUAAGCUAUCGCCUGAAGAUGGACCCGCGUCUGAUUAGGUAGUUGGUGGGGUAACGGCCUACCAAGCCGACGAUCAGUAGCCGACCUGAGAGGGUGACCGGCCACAUUGGGACUGAGACACGGCCCAGACUCCUACGGGAGGCAGCAGUGGGGAAUAUUGCACAAUGGAGGAAACUCUGAUGCAGCGACGCCGCGUGGAGGAAGAAGGUUUUCGGAUUGUAAACUCCUGUCGUUAGGGACGAUAAUGACGGUACCUAACAAGAAAGCACCGGCUAACUACGUG
rnacentral:rRNA from 1 species